ensembl:lncRNA
AGCGGAGCGGAGCGCGGUCCCCGCCGCGCACGGAGAGGGCAGGGCGCGCCGAGCCGCCGGCUGCGCUCCCCCCGCUCCCAGCCCCCACAAAGCCGGGAGCGGCAGAAGGUGGCGAGCGGUGCCGACAGCUCCGGGAGUCCCGCGGGCGGUCAGGACGCAGCCCCGGCGGACGGCGCGGGGCUCGGGGCGCUGCAGCCGACGGGUCCGACGCCAGUUUCCAUGGAAACAGCCGGGAGCAGAAACGGGAACCAGAAUCCAGAAAUGCAAAGCCUCGAGCUCCCUGCUCGCCUUCCUGGAUUCCUGCUCCCGGCGGCCCUGGGAUGUGGGAUUGGGAGCAUGGGGGUGGCUCGGAUGAAAGGGGGGCCGGGGUCAGGGUGCUGCUGUGGGGCGCAGUGUGGGGCGGAGUGCCGGCGAUGCGCGCGGUGCCCGGGCGGUGAUGUGCAGCACGGCGUGCAGGCGGGCUGGGACAACAGCUGUGCACAUCUGCACGUCGGGAUGUUGCACGCUGCUGCACCCACGUGUGCACCGUGUGGCUGCGGAGCGGUGCGGAGCUCGGCGGUGAGCGGCGUGCUGCAUUGCUGUUCCGUGCUGCUGGCGCACGGGGGGGACCCCGAGACCGCAGACACAGAGGGUCCCCUCGAGCUGGGGACCAAGCAGUGUGUGCAGCCCCGGGUCACGGCAUGGGGUGCUGCAGGCACAGCCAGCGCUCUGCUCGUGGGGGGGCUCCGAGCCCCCAGAAAGCUCCAGGGGGUGCAUCCCCCCCACACCACGGCUGCGUGGUGUGCCUGGGGAGCAGCGAGCUGCCCGGCGCCAAUGGCACCGCGUGGGCAUCACCGCGUCCCCGGGGGUGUCCCAAAGGGUGGCUGAGCUCUGCCCCGCUGCCUGUAGGGUGGGACGGUGACACCGCACAGCAGCAUCCCCCCACCCGGCCCCGCCACCAUUGUGUGUGUGCGCCGUAAUACAUCAUUUACAGACGGACAGGUAUUAAGAUACAUUAUGGAUAACUCACAGAGAGAGACGCUAUUAAUAAUACAGACACAUAC